UUAGACCUCAGAUCAGGCAGGAUUACCCGCUGAACUUAAGCAUAUCAAUAAGCGGAGGAAAAGAAACUAACAAGGAUUCCCCUAGUAACGGCGAGUGAAGCGGGAAGAGCUCAAAUUUGUAAUCUGGCACUUUCAGUGUCCGAGUUGUAAUCUCGAGAAGUGUUUUCCGCGCCGGACCGCAUACAAGUCUGUUGGAAUACAGCGUCAUAGUGGUGAGAACCCCGUAACUGAUGCGGAUGCCCGGUGCUUUGUGAUACACUUUCGAAGAGUCGAGUUGUUUGGGAAUGCAGCUCAAAUUGGGUGGUAAAUUCCAUCUAAAGCUAAAUAUUGGCGAGAGACCGAUAGCGAACAAGUACCGUGAGGGAAAGAUGAAAAGCACUUUGGAAAGAGAGUUAACAGUACGUGAAAUUGUUGGAAGGGAAACGAUUGAAGUCAGACUUGUUAUCUGGAGUUCAGCCUUUCGGUGUACUCUCCAGUUUACAGGCCAGCAUCAGUUUUCGGGGCGGGAAAAUCGUAAUUAGAAGGUAGCAGCCUAGCUGUGUUAUAGCUUUUUACUGGAUUCCGCUUUGGGGACUGAGGAACGCAGUGUGCUUUUAGCAAUACCCUCGGGUAUUUCACACUUAGGAUGCUGGUGGAAUGGCUUUAAACGACCCGUCUUGAAACACGGACCAAGGAGUCUAACAUGCUUGCGAGUAUUUGGGUGUCAAACCCGGAUGCGCAAUGAAAGUGAAUGAAGGUGGGAUCCGCAAGGUGCACCAUCGACCGAUCUGGAUUUUUUAAGAUGGAUUUGAGUAAGAGCAAUUAUGUUGGGACCCGAAAGAUGGUGAACUAUGCCUGAAUAGGGCGAAGCCAGAGGAAACUCUGGUGGAGGCUCGUAGCGGUUCUGACGUGCAAAUCGAUCGUCAAAUUUGGGUAUAGGGGCGAAAGACUAAUCGAA
rnacentral:rRNA from 1 species